rnacentral:rRNA from 1 species
GGACUACUGGGGUUUCUAAUCCUGUUUGCUCCCCACGCUUUCGCGUCUCAGCGUCAGUUACUGUCCAGAAGGCCGCCUUCGCCACCGGUGUUCCGCUUGAUAUCUACGAAUUUCACCUCUACACCAAGCAUUCCACCUUCCUCUCCAGAACUCUAGCCCUGUAGUUUCGAGUGCACUUCCACGGUUGAGCCGUGGGAUUUCACACCCGACUUACAGGGCCGCCUACACGCGCUUUACGCCCAGUAAUUCCGAACAACGUUUGCACCCUCUGUCUUACCGCGGCUGCUGGCAC